CAUGAUGAGAAUUUAGUCUGCCCAAAACUGCCUCUUCCCGAGCAAAGAAUCCAGCUGGGGAGGAGAGCAGAGGUUUGUGAGCCCUCCCAAAAGGUCUGUCUGUUAGUUUGUUUUAAGGGAAGUAGGGAGGUGAGGUUUGGAAGUGCUGAGUCAAAAUUCCUUAUUCUUAUUAAAUUCUUCCUUCAAAAUUCUUUAUCCUUUAGCACUUAUCUCUGUCUUCAGCCUCUCCUGACUCAGAGUCGUCCUGCUCUCACGGUCCCCUCACACCCGUGGCACUUUGCACUGGGGAAUACUGCCCUCUGCUCUAGUGCUAAACCCACAAGUAUUUUGGUGGCUACUUUGGGGAUAGAAAUGACUAAAACAGCAAUUCAAAGUGUAACUGGAGGCACCGAAGGUGAGGGGCUGGGACAGGAGCACCGUGACCUUAUGGAACCGCUGAUGCUUGUGAUGUCACGGCUGUGGGCAGGAACCCCUGGGGUGCUGCCAGACCCCCGUAACCCCCCCGGUAGGGACGGCACCUGCACGAGCACGCUGCUCCUCGCACCUGCAGAGCCAUGGCCAACGCAGGGGUGAAAACCCUCCUGCAGUCGAAGGAGCUCCUGGAGGCCAUGGAGCCCCCCCUGGGCAGCCAGGCACAGCCCCCCGUCCCCUGUCCCCUGCUGGGCCCGGUGGCCCCCCAGGCCCUCGCCAGGCACGCGGCCAUCUCCUCCCCUGGUCCCCCCAUCGCAGAGUUCCCCAGGAACAGCACUCCCCAAAACUGCUACGGCCUGAAGAGAACCUUUGCCUGCACCAACUUGCUGCUGCUCAGCCUGGCCAGUCCUGACAGCUCUGCAGAGAGAGAGGCUUCCCUCGGCCCCCCCGUACACACGUCGUGCUCCCAGGAUAAAUCCGAGCCCGCCGCCCCCGCGGAGAACUGAUCAUCACCACCUCGCCUGUCGCACUGAAGAAGGCAGAAUGUGGGACUCGGUGAGCGGGACUAACCACCCACUGCAAGACGCCGCAGUGCUAACAGCGUGUUGUGUCCGUGCAAUGAAGGUUCCUCUCUACAAAUGCAGUGUGGCUCUUACCUUGGGGACCUUGGGGUUUGUUUGGACAUCUCAGAAAAAUCCUUCCGAGUCUGAUUUCCCUCUUGUGCUAAAUGUGGGUGAUGUGUUAUCUUGACCAUGAAAUCAAAGUAAUUCUGGGUUUAUACAAUAUCUUAAAUAUCCUGUGUUACACGUAAAACCCCAUAUACACGUGUGUGCACAUACAUCUACUCCAUACCCAUUUUUUGAGAUGCCUACCUGGUAAAAGGCAUUAGAUCAUCUCUGAUCAGUGAUAGGUAUACAUAUAAAAUGUAUUUUUAGUUGUUACAUAUUCUUUGCACGCUUCUUGUUGCACAAAGCCUUCCACUACAACAGCUCAAGGACGCAUAGAGGAGAUCUCCCAUAUGGGUGAUAGAUCAUGUGCUCUGGGCCAUGACUUCCCAACAAGCCCUUCGGAGAUCCAUCAGGACCUGCUUGUUCCUCAGGCUGAGGCCAGGUACCAGGACAGUGUGGAAAAUAGCUGCUUGCCAGUCUCAAACUAGGGUAAAACAGGAGGUAAGGGUGGAGGGAAACGCUCAUUAAAAGGGUGAUGUUCUGGGAGACAAGGACUGGAAGAUCCUCAGCUGGUUGGACACCACAGCCUUCCUCUCUCUCACCUGAUGCACCUCAAGCAGGAGCUGCUGGUUCCAGCACCUGCAAGAACUCGUAGCCAAGAAGCCUGUAUGCAUCCUCCGGCGUUCUUCACCACCAGGCGUGCCAUCCUCGAUGCUUGGUGAGCUGGGUGGGCUCCAGGUCAGCCCCCAGCUUCUACCAUCCCACAGGGUAUCCCUUGGAGUAUUAGCUCAUGAUCAGUGCCUAGCAAGAUCAUUUACAUGAGGAGGAGACACUGAAG
ensembl:lncRNA